AAGCAAUAAAUUUUAAAACUUCGUAUAACUCCAAUAAUAUGGUUUGGAGGUUUCUACCAGGAGCCAAUAAUUCCUGAUUACGAAGAAUACCCAGCGGUAU
rnacentral:ncRNA from 2 species